GAAAGCUGUAUGCUUUGGAAGAAGCUUGUACAGUUUGGGAAGGGGGUUUUUGAGAGAAAAGAAGAAUCUACUUCAAC
rnacentral:ncRNA from 1 species